UACGGAGGGGGCUAGCGUUGUUCGGAAUUACUGGGCGUAAAGCGCACGUAGGCGGAUUAGAAAGUCAGAGGUGAAAUCCCAGGGCUCAACCCUGGAACUGCCUUUGAAACUCCUAGUCUCGAGGUCGAGAGAGGUGAGUGGAAUUCCGAGUGUAGAGGUGAAAUUCGUAGAUAUUCGGAGGAACACCAGAGGCGAAGGCGGCUCACUGGCUCGAUACUGACGCUGAGGUGCGAAAGCGUGGGGAGCAAAC
rnacentral:rRNA from 1 species